GGGGUCGGAACUUCGGUUCCGGCUUACGUGGCGCACGGGUGAGUAACACGUGGGAAUCUGCCCAUCUAUGGGGAAUAACUGCGGGAAACUGCAGCUAAUACCGCAUACGCCCUUCGGGGGAAAGGCUUCGGCCGUAGAUGGAUGAGCCCGCGUCCGAUUAGCUAGUUGGUGGGGUAAAAGCCUACCAAGGCGACGAUCGGUAGCUGGUCUGAGAGGAUGAUCAGCCACACUGGGACUGAGACACGGCCCAGACUCCUACAGGAGGCAGCAGUGGGGAAUAUUGGACAAUGGGCGAAAGCCUGAUCCAGCAAUGCCGCGUGAGUGAUGAAGGUCUUCGGAUUGUAAAGCUCUUUCGACGGGGAAGAUAAUGACGGUACCCGUAGAAGAAGCCCCGGCUAACUUCGUGCCAGCAGCCGCGGUAAUACGAAGGGGGCUAGCGUUGUUCGGAUUUACUGGGCGUAAAGCGUGCGUAGGCGGCUUGUCAAGUCAGAAGUGAAAGCCCGGGGCUCAACUCCGGAACUGCUUUUGAGACUGGCAGGCUUGAGUUCGGGAGAGGGUAGUGGAAUUCCCAGUGUAGAGGUGAAAUUCGUAGAUAUUGGGAAGAACACCGGUG
rnacentral:rRNA from 1 species